UAAUUCUAGAGCUAAUACAUGCACACGCACGCCCUACUUUUGCGGACUGGGCGGUAUUUAUUAGAUAACAGACCAAUAUUCCUCGUGUCUAUUGUGGUGAAUCAUAGUAACUGAUCGGAUCGCAUGGGCUGGUCCCGCGACAAACCAUUCAAGUUUCUGCCCCAUCAGCUUGCUGGUAGUGUAUUGGACUACCAUGGCUUUUACGGGUAACGGAGGAUUAGGGUUCGAUUCCGGAGAGGGAGCCUGAGAAACGGCUACCACAUCUAAGGAAGGCAGCAGGCGCGUAAAUUACCCAAUACUAAUUCAGUGAGGUAGUGACAAGAAAUAACAGACCAGGGUUCUACCCUGGGACU
rnacentral:rRNA from 1 species